rnacentral:rRNA from 1 species
AGCAGCCGCGGUAAUUCCAGCUCCAAUAGCGUAUAUUAAAGUUGUUGCAGUUAAAAAGCUCGUAGUUGAAUUUCGGGAUUGGCGCAUCGGUCGUGCCUUACGGGGUAUGAACUGGUGCAGUCAAUUUCUCACCUUCUGGAGAACCGCGAUGUCCUUAAUUGGGUGCCGCGGGGAACCAGGACCCUUACUUUGAAAAAAUUAGAGUGUUUAAAGCAGGCAUUUUUGCUUGAAUACAUUAGCAUGGAAUAAUAAAAUAGGACGGCAUGGUUCUAUUUUGUUGGUUUCUAGGACCACCGUAAUGAUUAAUAGGGAUAGUUGGGGGCAUUAGUAUUCAAUUGUCAGAGGUGAAAUUCUUGGAUUUAUUGAAGACUAACUACUGCGAAAGCAUUUGCCAAGGAUGUUUUCAUUAAUCAAGAACGAAAGUUAGGGGAUCGAAGACGAUCAGAUACCGUCGUAGUCUUAACCAUAAACUAUGCCGACUAGGAAUCAGACGAUGUUAAUUUUUUAAUUAGACUCGUUU